rnacentral:rRNA from 1 species
UACGUAGGUGGCAAGCGUUGUCCGGAAUUACUGGGUGUAAAGGGCGUGUAGGCGGGAAGAUAAGUCAGAUGUGAAAACCCAUGGCUCAACCAUGGGACUGCAUCUGAAACUAUUUUUCUUGAGUGCUGGAGAGGAAAGCGGAAUUCCUAGUGUAGCGGUGAAAUGCGUAGAUAUUAGGAGGAACACCAGUGGCGAAGGCGGCUUUCUGGACAGUAACUGACGCUGAGGCGCGAAAGCGUGGGGAGCAAACAGG